CAAAAACAUCUUCUGAAUCUAAUAUAUCAGGUAGUGCCUGCUCACUGGUUUUAAGAGCCGCAGUAUCCUAACUGUGCUAAGGUAGCAUAAUCAUUAGUUAUUUAAUUUGUAACUAGAAUGAACGGCCUGACAAAAGAAUAAUUUUAUUAUUUUUUUAUUAAAUUAAUAUAAGAAUAAAAAAGUUCUUAUAAAUUAGAAAGACGAUAAGACCCUAAAACCUUAUAUAUAAAUAUUUACUGGGGUGGUAAUUUAUUCACCAUAAAUUAAAAUAACAUAAUGAGUGAUACUGUCUAUCUAAUUAAUACAAAAAGGUACUUUAGGGAUAACAGCAUAAUUUUUAUUUAGAGUCCUUAUCGACAUAAAAGAUUAUGACCUCGAUGUUGAAUUGAUUUAACUAUUUUAGGCAGCCCUUAAAUUAGUAGGUCUGUUCGACCUUUAAAUGAUCAC
rnacentral:rRNA from 1 species